UAUUUUCAACUCUCCCUCCCAUUUUUAUUGGCAAAAAAUAAUAAUUAAUAAAACAUUAUCUUUUCUCUUUCUCCAACUUUACUCUUUCUCCAAAAAAAGCUUUUUACUUUACUCUUUCUCCACAUUUCUCCAAACAUUAUGGGCAUUACUCUUUCACCAAACAUUAUCGACGAACCUUAGAUGAAGAACUGAAGGUGAAGAAUUGAUAUCGACGAACUGAGCUAGAGAUUAAGCGGAGAAUUGAUAUCGACAAACUAACUUUAGAUGAAGAACUGAGCUGAAGGGAAAAAUUGAAGAAAGGCAAACCGAGCUAAAGAUGAUAAAAUCAGAAUCAAAUAGUGGUGAUUAUAUUUAUUUUAGUCACAACAAAGCAGAAAAAAUAAGAAGAGAAACCCUAAGACGAUAGUCAAUUCAAUAAGAGGAGGCGACAAUGCUUUCAGGUUACUAGCCCAGACAUUAUGAUAUUUCUCUUCUCCUUCUCUGAGGUUUCUUGGAGAUUUGUGAGGUAGCUGUUUGACAUCUCAGCGGACUUUGUUUCUCCUUAGUUAUGACCUUGUUCUAUUCUAUAAACAAGUUCAUUUGAGACUAGCAUUUCUUUUGAAUCAACUGUAAUACGUUAGAGGCUUGUAUAUGUGACAACCAGAAUAUGGGGGUGUUUUGAAUUGAUUAUGAAAUUUUCGCAUUUCAUUGUGAUAGUUGAGUUUUUGACUUGUCUUGGUGGGAUAAAACGAGUGACAUCGCGUUCAUUUUUGGAUCUUGACAGAAUUACCACUCGGAAGACUUUGAGUCGGUUAGUAUCUGGGCAUUAGAGGCAGAACGAUGAGCUCUGUUGUUUGAAGACUCUCCUGGUUUCGUCUCUAUCCCGAGUUCGUCGCUCCAAGAGAGUGUAAUCAACAUUCAAAAACAUUUGUGGAGGAUUCAAGGUUUGAUUUCGACUAGCACUAGUGUCAUGACUUGGAAUUCAAAUGUCCCAUCCAAGGAUUAGAUGAAGUUAGAAAGAUAUAACAAAGAGUAUAUUGAUGGUGUUGAAUCAUUCUUACAUUUUGUUUACUCUUAUGGAGAUCUUCAAAGGGAGGAAAUUCAGUGUCCAUGUGCAAAAUAAUGUAAUAUUCGUUGGACUCGAAGGAAUGUAGUGUAUGAUAAUCUAAUAGCCUAUGGAUUUGUUAAAGGCUAUACUAGAUGGAUCAAUCAGGGGGAAUGGGAUAUCAAUUUUAAUGUUGAUGAUUAUAUAGAUUGCUUGCAUGAUGAUAUUGAUGGGUUGUUGAAUGAUCAAUUUAGAGAUGUUGCACAGACUCAAGGAGUUAAUGAUGGUCCACAUGAAGAUGCCAAGAAAUUAUAUAUCUUAGUUGAAGAGAAAAGCCAGGAAUUUUAUCCUGGUUGUACUACAAGAUUCUCUAAGUUAUCAUUCACACGUCAUUUAUAUUUGCUGAAGUGUCUACAUGGAUGGAUCAAUGAAUCAUUCACUUCUCUUUUAGAGUUAUUAAACGAGGAGAUUCUUUCUUCUUACAAUAAACCAAGUCUAUGGUUAAGAAUUUUAGUCUUGAUUAUGAGAAAAUUGAUGCAUGUACCAAUAAUUGCAUGUUGUUCAGGAUUGAUCAUAAGGAUGAUGAAUUUUACCAUGCUUGUGGAGCUUCACGAUAUAUUAAAUCUUCUCAAGUUGAUAGUGAACUUGAGCCUUGGAAAAAACAACAUCGAGUUUCAGCAAAGACUUUGAGACACUUUCCAUUAAUUCCUAAACUCAAAAGGCUAUUUAUGUACUCAAAGACGGGAGAUUCUUUGAGGUGGCAUGAGGAGGAGCGUUCCAAAGAUGAAAGUUAAGGCAUCCUACUGAUGGUCUAUCAUGGAAUGAUUUUGAUAGGUUGCAUCUAGAUUUUGCACUAGAUUGUCGAAAUGUGAGACUUUGUUUUUCAAGUGAUGGGUUCAAUCCAUUUCAAACCAUGAGUAUAUCACAUAGCACAUGGCCAUUUAUGUUGAUGGUGUAUAAUUUUCCGCCUUGGAUGUGCAUGAAAUCUGAAUAUUCUAUACUUUCUUGACUUA